AUUGAACGCUGGCGGCAUGCUUUACACAUGCAAGUCGAACGGCAGCGCGUGCUUCGGCCUGGCGGCGAGUGGCUAACGGGUGAGUAAUACAUCGGAACGUGCCCAGUAGUGGGGGAUAGCUCGGCGAAAGCCGGAUUAAUACCGCAUACGACCUGAGGGUGAAAGCGGGGGAUCUUCGGACCUCGCUCUAUUGGAGCGUCCGAUGGCAGAUUAGCUAGUUGGUGGGGUAAAGGCCUACCAAGGCGACGAUCUGUAGCUGGUCUGAGAGGACGACCAGCCACACUGGGACUGAGACACGGCCCAGACUCCUACGGGAGGCAGCAGUGGGGAAUUUUGGACAAUGGGCGAAAGCCUGAUCCAGCAAUGCCGCGUGUGUGAUGAAGGCAUUCGGGUUGUAAAGCACUUUUGGCGGGAACGAAAAGGACUGUGCCAAUACCAAGGUUAGAUGACGGUACCCGCAGAAUAAGCACCGGCUAACUACGUG
rnacentral:rRNA from 1 species